rnacentral:rRNA from 1 species
UACGUAGGGUGCAAGCGUUGUCCGGAAUUAUUGGGCGUAAAGAGCUCGUAGGCGGUUUGUUGCGUCGGCUGUGAAAUCCCGAGGCUCAACCUCGGGUCUGCAGUCGAUACGAGCAAACUAGAGUGUUGCAGGGGAGACUGGAAUUCCUGGUGUAGCGGUGAAAUGCGCAGAUAUCAGGAGGAACACCGGUGGCGAAGGCGGGUCUCUGGGCAACAACUGACGCUGGAGGAGCGAAAAGCGUGGGGAG